rnacentral:rRNA from 1 species
GAUGAACGCUGGCGGCGUGCCUAAUACAUGCAAGUCGAGCGAACGGACGAGAAGCUUGCUUCUCUGAUGUUAGCGGCGGACGGGUGAGUAACACGUGGAUAACCUACCUAUAAGACUGGGAUAACUUCGGGAAACCGGAGCUAAUACCGGAUAAUAUUUUGAACCGCAUGGUUCAAAAGUGAAAGACGGUCUUGCUGUCACUUAUAGAUGGAUCCGCGCUGCAUUAGCUAGUUGGUAAGGUAACGGCUUACCAAGGCAACGAUGCAUAGCCGACCUGAGAGGGUGAGCAGCCACACUGGAACUGAGACACGGUCCAGACUCCUACGGGAGGCAGCAGUAGGGAAUCUUCCGCAAAGGGCGAAAGCCUGACGGAGCAACGCCGCGUGAGUGAUGAAGGUCUUCGGAUCGUAAAACUCUGUUAUUAGGGAAGAACAUAUGUGUAAGUAACUGUGCACAUCUUGACGGUACCUAAUCAGAAAGCCACGGCUAACUACGUG